GUACACGCUGUGACUAGCAUAUCAAUAAGCGGAGGAAAAGAAACUAACAAGGAUUCCCCUAGUAACGGCGAGUGAAGCGGGAAGAGCUCAAAUUUGAAAUCUUAAAGGGUUUCCCUUUACGAAUUGUAGUUUAAAGAAGUGUUUUCUGUUGAGGUUUUGGUAAAAGUUCUUUGGAAUAGGACAUCAUAGAGGGUGAGAAUCCCGUAUUUGACCUUUACUUUCAACUUUGUGAUACACUUUCAAAGAGUCGGAUUGUUUGGGAAUGCAGUCCAAAAUGGGUGGUAAAUUUCAUCUAAAGCUAAAUAUUGGCGAGAGACCGAUAGCGAACAAGUACCGUGAGGGAAAGAUGAAAAGAACUUUGAAAAGAGAGUUAAACAGUACGUGAAAUUGUCAAAAGGGUAGGCGUUUGACACCAGUGUUGUUUUUCUGAAAAUCAAUUAAAGAACUGUUUAUGCUAAGUCGUUUAGACUUUAUCAGCUAACUGUUUAGUUUUGAGCUUUUCUUUAAUGCACUUUUCAGUUAACAAGUCAACAUCAAUUUCUUUUGCUGUAAAAAAGCUUGAGGAAGGUGGCUUGAGAUUCGUCUUAAGUGUUUAUAGCCUCUUGCCUAUGCAGUCGGAGAGAUUGAGGUCUGCAGCGUAGAUCCUUCGGGGCUAAAUGCAUUUGUGCUAAGUUAUAGCAUUUUAUAGACAAUUUGUUGACUAUGAUUUGUCUUGUAGCUUACUCGCUUAUGUUAUUUUACCUACGCUUAGGAUGUUGAAGUCAUCGUAUCGCGC
rnacentral:rRNA from 1 species